rnacentral:rRNA from 1 species
AACGUAGGAGACAAACGUUAUCCGGAGUUACUGGGCGUAAAGCGCGCGCAGGUGGCGCGUCAAGUCUGGUGUGAAAGCCUCCGGCUCAACCGGAGGAGGCCACUGGAGACUGGCGUGCUCGAGGUGGGUAGGGGUCGGUGGAAUUCCCGGUGUAGUGGUGAAAUGCGUAGAUAUCGGGAGGAACACCAGUGGCGAAAGCGGCCGACUGGGCCCAACCUGACGCUGAGGCGCGAAAGCGUGGGGAGCGAACCGG